rnacentral:rRNA from 1 species
GGGAUUAGAUACCCCACUAUGCCAAGUCGUAAACUUUAAUUUACACCCUUCCCAUCGCCUGGAAACUACGAGCCAAGCUUAAAACCCAAAGGACUUGACGGUACCCCAUAUCCCCCUAGAGGAGCCUGUCCUAUAAUUGAUAACCCCCGCUAAACCUCACCAUUCUUAGCCUAUCAGCCUGUAUACUUCCGUCGUCAGCUAACCCCAUGAGUGAAACUCAGUGAGCCCAAUGGUCACCCACCAAAACGUCAGGUCAAAGUGCAGCAAAUAGAAUGGGAUCAGAUGGGCUACACUUUCUAAUAUAGAAAAAUAACGAAAGACUAUGUGAAACCUAAGUCAGAAGGUGGAUUUAGAAGUAAAAAGAGAUUAGAGUGUUCUUUUUAACUUGGUACUGGGGUGUGUACACACCGCC